rnacentral:rRNA from 1 species
AUUGAACGCUGGCGGCAGGCCUAACACAUGCAAGUCGAACGAGUGGCGGACGGGUGAGUAAUGUCUGGGAAACUGCCUGAUGGAGGGGGAUAACUACUGGAAACGGUAGCUAAUACCGCAUACCAUCGGAUGUGCCCAGAUGGGAUUAGCUAGUAGGUGGGGUAAAGGCUCACCUAGGCGACGAUCCCUAGCUGGCCGGUGAGGAGGACCAGCAAAACGGGAAUGGAGACACGGUCCGAAGUCCUACGGGAGGCGACAGUGGGGAAUAUUGCACAAUGGGGGAAAGCCUGAUGCAGCCAUGCCGCGUAUAUGAAGAGGGCCUUCGGGUUGAAAAGUACGGUCAGCGGGGAGGCGUUACCCGCAGAAGAGGCACCGGCUAACUCCGUGCCAGCAGCCGCGGUAAUAC